CGGACCAGACUAGGCGAUCGCGGGAUCGAAAGAUUUCGAGGAAAGUCCGAACACCGCAGGGCAGGACGCUCCAUAACGUGGAGUCGCAGCAAUGUGAAGGAAAGUGCAGCAGAGAAUAGACCGCCGGGCACCCCUUGGGGUGCCCGGUAAGGGUGAAACGGUGCGGUAAGAGCGCACCAGUUUUCCAGGUGACUGGAAAAGCUUGGUAAACCCCGUCCGGUGCAAGACCAAAUAGAGAAGCGUUUGAGGGUUGCCCGCCUGAGCUUCCGGGUAGGUUGCUUGAGGUGCACGGCAACGUGCAUCCUAGAUGAAUGAUCGCUGCCCCGGCAUCGGGUAACCGUGCAGGGGUACAGGAUUCGGCUUACUGGCUGAUCUGGCCG
rnacentral:RNase_P_RNA from 21 species